rnacentral:lncRNA from 1 species
ACCCUUGCCUCGCCUGCUCCCUCUGCCUCAAAGCAGAACAUUCUGGACUUGGGGUGAAAAGCCUGGAUUUGAGCUAUGCUGCCCACCACUCUGCCUGGGUUUGCUUUUCUGGAUAACAUCUGCCUGCCUGCUGUGGCUCCACUGGUUGCCCCCCUGGCGCCACAUCUCUUCUCCUCUGCUGCUGGAGUCCAGGUCUGCCCUCCUGGGGCACCCGCCCAGCUCACAGGCAAACCUACCCGGUCUCGGGGGCUGUGACUGAGGGGUGUGGCAGAGGCUUCGGGUGUUCACUGGGAGCUUCCGCAGGGGAACCGGCCUGGUAGGAACGGCCGCUUUGGGGAAGGCAGAACCAUCGGGAACCAGCCUCAGGGUGCAGGCUUCCAGGACAGUGCUCACUCUGGGCAGAGCCACCACCACAUUGCUUACUCGUCCCCACAGAUGGAACAGGAGCGAGGUCGCCUGUAUCCUCCGGGAAAUGCUCCUGGAGGUCAGGGCAGCCGGGUGAGCACUGGGUCCGGCUGCUCUCCCCAGCUUCUCUUCUCCAGUCAGCCAACCCAGCCUCCGCGAGAGACAGAGGAAAGACAGACACGGCGUUGGCUGCGCGGGGGCCUGCAUCCCUCCCGACCUUCUCAUUUGAUCCUCCUGCCCUAUGCGGUUGGUGCCAACGUUCAUCCCAUUUUACAGAUGAGUAAACUCAGCUUCAGUGAGGCCGGGGCCUUCCUGGAGAUCACAGAGCAAGCACCAUCAGUCUCAACUGUCGCUGGCCGGAGCUGGCUCUACGCGUUUCUUUCCUCGUACUCUGUGGUCUACAAGGACAGGAGGGACGGGGUCUCGACCUGGACCAACCCAGGCUGGUCUCAAACUCCUGGGCUCAAGCAAUCCAC